CGGUUUAGUAAGUCUCUUGUGAAAUCCAUUAGAAAACUAAUGGAAGUGCAAGAGAUACUGCUAGACUUGAGACCAGUAGGGGCUAGAGGUACUCUAUGGGGAGGGGCCAAAUCCUAUCAUCCAUAGAGGACCGCCAGUGGCGAAAGCGUCUAGCUGGACUGGCUCUGACGGUGAGGGACGAAAGUCAGGGGAGCAAAGCGGAUCAGAUACCCGUGUAGUCCUGACUGUAAACUAUGCUUGCUAGGUAUUGAGGGUCCUUCGAGGAUCCUCAGUACCGAAGUUAAUACAUUGAGCAAGCCACCUGGGAA
rnacentral:rRNA from 1 species